AUGAGCAGUCAGCAGCCCACUGGGGUCCUGACUCCUGCUUCAGGUGCAGAAAUACAGCUAUUUCCAGUGCCAGCUGUUGAGCCAGUGCCAGCACCAGGGUCAGAGCCCCCUCCAGGGACAGUGCUCGAGCUAGAGGAGGCUCCAGAGCCCUCCUGCUGCUGCCCUGGGACUGCCCAGGACCAGCCCAGUGAGAAGCUGCCUGACUUCAUGGCACCUCCUGUACAGCCACCAGCCUCAGCCCUGGAGCUGAAAGUGUGGCUGGAGCUAGAGGUGGCAGAGAGGGGAUGACCAGCACAGCUCCAGCCAGCAGCUCCCACACUGCUCCCAGUCCUGGGCACAGUGGAAGCUAUGGAGGCAGAGACCAGGGUGUGCAACCUGGGCUCCUCUGCCUCACUGGAGAGGGACUUCUCUCAUUCAGCAGAGCAGCAGCCCUGCUGCUGAAGGGCCUGCUGCUACUGCUGCUGGGGUUGUUUGCCUGUCUGCAGGAGGUGCUGGAGAGCAAGAAAAGGAGCCUGUGAGCCGGGGUUCCAGCAGGUCCUCCUGCUCCCAGAGGUGACCUCCUCCUCCAGGCAUGGAGGUUUGCCCUCAGCUAGGCAUCUGGGCCUCUAAUGUGCUGCCCAGGAUGGCCUCUUCUUGA